AGUAUGGAACAGUAGUCGAUCGACAGCUUGGGCUUUCAGGACAGGAGGUUGUUACCCUUUGUAAGGAAAUUCUUGGCAAAGUUCAUAUCAUCUUUACAGAUAUUUUUUACACAAGUCCUACACUUGCUGAUUAUCUAUUGUUGGAGGAGACGUACCUGUGCGGCACUGUUCGGAUCAACAGGAAAGGCUACCCGACGGCACAGCUACCAACAGGAAGAGAUGCUACUCGUCUCGAAUGUGGAUCCAUCGACUGGGUUGCCCGUGGAGACUUCGUCGCGACGAUGUGGAAGGACAACAGGCCGGUCUACUUCCUAUCUACAGGAUUUCCCCCCCGGAGGAAGAAGGACUGACGACAAAGAGGAGGAAGAAGGAUGGAACUCGGGAGGAACUUGCUGUAACACCAGCGGUGGUAGAGUAUGGAAAGUACAUGGGGGGUGUAGAUAAGCUUGAUCAGAACACGCGUGUGAACAAGAGUAAAAAAAUCUAUGAAAUGGUACAGGCGUGUUGAGAUCAAGCUAAGAGAGAUUGCGAUUUAUAAUGCAUAUCUCAUUGAAGGUACGAUCAACGAUCACAACCCCAAGGGAAGACGCAAGAGAGAUCUCCUGUCCUUCCGACUUGACCUGGCCCAUCAGCUCCUCGGCAACAUCACCAACAGGAACACCUCACAGCGACAUGGUGACCAUGAGGAACAGCGCCUGGACUGCAACAACCACUGGUCUGAUGCAGCAGUAAGUAGUUACUGUGCGUGCCGCGUAUGUACUAAAAAACAUCAAGUGUUUCUGACAUCCCAUCCAGGAGUGGCCUACAAAGACAACCCAUACAAGAGGUCAAAGACGUCCAUGAAGUGCUCCAAGUGUGACGUCCCACUUUGCUGUUCCUCAAAGAAGAGCUGUUUCCAAGAGUACCAUACUAAGGUCCAGUAUUGGCGCUGAUUAUCCACCGAAGCCCUUUGCCACAAACAUUUGUAAAUAUUGUAAAUAUAUUUAUUGCCACUUUUAAUAAUUGUAAAUAUAUUUAUUUCCACUUCUUAUAGUUGUAAAUAUAUUUAUUACAUCUAUUAUGUACACAUAUCUAUUUCACACUUUUGUGAUACUUUUAUUUAUUACGUUAUGCUUGUUUACAUUUAUUCUUUGUUAUACUGUGAUACGUUUUCCUUUCAGGUUGGAGUCCAAUGAAUGUACUCGGUUAUCCUGCAUCUCAAUGUAAUAUAUUGUAAUGUAAUUCAAUGGUCUAAUAGAACUUCUUUUCAGCACAUGUAAGCCGUUUUUUGACAAGUAAAUUUUUAGCAAUAAAAGUAUUGGUAACUUACUUCUUCUCAGAAGUAGUUCGCAUAAACGUUUUAUCUUUCAAACACAAACAUUAAAUUAUUUAAGCUAUGAAUAACUUUAAAAGUAACUUUUGACAUAGUUUGUGUGUUUUUCAAGCUUAUACGUUGCAGAUUACAAUUUAAAAAGGGAGGCAACUCUUGGCUACAACUUUUUUUUCUGAUCGCAGUCCAAAUUGUAGUUGGGCGGUUUGUCGUCGAAUGUCCUUGUAUUUGGCACAAUUUGAAUAAAAUUUAUUUCCAUAUUCAUGUUUGCUUUUGUUGUUUUUUCAUCCUAGUUUAAAUUUUAGUAACUGUAAUAAUUAUUUUAUUUAUUUAUUGAAUUAUUAAGUACUAAUUUAAUUUAUUAUGCAGUAAAUAGCCAUGCAUUGUAAAUAUGUUAUCACAAGUUGUAUAUUUGUUGGACUUACAAUCUUUCCGUCCUUUCAGCUCGUUUGGUAAUGUCUUCCCUGUGAUGUCUUUCUUGCAGUAGCUGUCGUUCAAUGUUCAGAUGUGCAUUAGGAGGAUUUACCUGUAACACCUGGGAUUACCUGUGCCGUCCACGAUGACAAGCCAAGACCACCCCAUUGUAUCUGUGAUUUAUUUUUGUGAUUUUGAAUACAUUUUGAACCCAAA